rnacentral:lncRNA from 1 species
CACCUGAGAGCUCCUCUGGGCCCGCCCUGCUUCAGCCGCCAGCACUGCACCUGCGCUCUGCAGUCCCUCCCAUCACAGCGGAGGUCUGGCAGCACAUCCCUGCCUGCAGCUGCAGACCGAGGCGGUGCUCCCAGCUCUCGAAGCUUCUCAAGGAAUCCGGCAAUAGCCGGUGACGCCUGGACCCCCGAGCCCUGACUGAGUCUUUGCAGGCUGGGCUGGGUGGGGUGGGGGGAGGCAGGCCCCUGCAGGCCCCCCUCCCUCUGCAACAGAGCUGGCUGCCCCAGCCUGUGAUUUGUGUUUACACAGGCUCCACAAUGAGGUGUGGCACUUAAUGAAAGGGCUCUGUCACUUACCCAGUGAAACAGGGAGUCUGAAGGCCAAAGAACUGGUUACUUCUUGUACGUGAGGCAGGACGAUCUGAGCUCCGGCCCGGACGGAGGGCGAGCACUCGGCUCCCUUCAGUUCAGCACAGAGGAGCAGACCUGCUGCUGAGCUGCCGUGCAGCACGAGCUGGGGGAGCGGGAAAUCAUGACCCACAGGCUUGUCUUCAGAGAGCCUGUUGAGGGUGGCAUGUGAUGGGCACCUGAGCACCCAGGACUUUAAGGAAACUACAUCAUCAUUACGAAGACUGGGGAGCAACAGCGUCAUGGGCACCGCUCUGCUCUGCAUGAAGGAGUCCGACAGCUGCCAGCGGGGAGCUUUGGUGGUGCCAAAUCCCCUGGAGAGAGGAGGCUGCAGCCCCAGGCAGCAGGGAGCCCUGGAGGAAGCUGCCUCUGCAGACUCGCGGGAAUGCCAGCUCCGGGUUUCAUUCCUUUGUUCACUGCUGCUUCCCAAGUGCCAGACGGAGCCUGGAACUCAGUGGCUGCUCUAAAGAUACUGUUGAAUGAGUAAAUGAACGGAAUUGCACAGGAGCGAGGCCACAGUUCUACAGCUGAGCUGCCUGUCACGGCCCUCACCCAACCACCACUGCUGGAAAUGUGCAGACAGGGUGUGCCUCUCCCGUUUAAGGGAAAUGUAUUGAGAUAUCAUUCACAUACAUGGCACGUGCUCAGGGAGCCCCCCAGGAUGACAGAGCUCACCCAUCACCCCACAGAACGUCUCUGCCCCAUCCAGGCAGGCCCCAGAGUACACUGGGUCUGGCUUCUUUAGUCAGAGGUGGUUUGAGUGAGUCUAGAGACUUCAUAGAAUCUGGGUCACAGAGCAGGCACCCUUUUCCAUCUGGUGUCUUCCACUCAGCGUAGCGGUCCCGAGAUCCAGCGUGUCUCUGCUAGGAUCAGCGGUUUGCUCCUUGGUGUUGCUGAGGAAAAUUCUACUGCAUGGAACACCACCAUCUAUCCACACUGGAUAGACACCAGAUGAGUGCUUCCGCCUGCUGUGAAUGAAGCUCCUAUGAACAGUCUCAUAUUAGGUAUGAAAGGAAAAUAAAUCAAUCACUAAACAAAGGGGAAAGUCAAGCUGGGAGCUGCCUCCCAUCCUAUUCCUAAAUAAGAUAGCUACAAAGAUAAAAACGCUGUUCCUCCCUCACAAUUUGCUCACAAGGAACUUCCUUGUGGAACAAGGACAGACAGAACUCAAUCAUCCCUCCGCUCACAUGAGACAAACACAGAUCGGAAUGCUUCCUCCGCCCUGUUGUUUCACCCAGCCAGACUAAGGCAUACGUAACUAUUCCAGUAAAUUGUGCAUUCGGUGAAAGGCUAAUCAGAAACUUAAAAGAAUGCAGCCAUUUGUCUCUUAUCUACCUACAACCUGGAAGCCCCCUGCGCGCUUUGACUUGUCCUGUCUUUCCAGAUAGAACCAAUGUACAUCAUACAUAUAAUGAUUGAUGUCUCAUGUCUCCCUAAAAUGUAUAAAACCAAGCUGUUCCCCGACCACCAUCACCAGGACCUCCUGAGGCUGUGUCACGGCACGUCCUCAACCUUGGCAAAAUAACUUUCUAAAUUUAUUGAGACUUGUCUCAGAUACUUUUUGGUUUACAAAGGUGUUUGUGGACAUGUAUAUUCAUUUCUCAUAGAUAAGUACCUAGAAGUUGAAUUGCUUAGACAUGAGUAAAUGUAUGUUUAACUUUUUCAGAAACUCCCGAACAUAUUUCCAAACUAUACCGUUUUACACUCUGUCAGCAGAAUUUAAAAGUUUCCACUGAACCACAUCCUUGUCAACGUUUGGUAUUGUCAAUAUGUUUAAGUUAUUGAUAUUGUUCUAGUGAAUGUGUAGAGACAUCUCGUUUUGGUUUUAAUUUGCAUUUUCCUAAUGAGGAAUAAUACUGAGAAAUUUUUUCUUUCAUAUUGUCAUAUAUGUGUCUUCUUUCUUAAAGUGCCUAGUCAAAUAUUUUGCUCAUUUUUUAUUGCUUUUUAUUAUAAACUGUGUUUUUUUAAAUAUUAUCUUAACACACGUCUUUUGGCUGAUAUAAUAUUGUAAAUAUUUUCUCCCAUUCUGUGGUCUACUUAUUGUUUCCUAAUGCUGUCUUUUGAAGAGCAAAAUAUUUUUCUCCAUUUAUGGAGACAAGAUGGUCAACUUAGCUAUUCCAAAAUGUUUUUAAAAUUCUAGUUUGUUUUAAAACAACCACAGCAAACUGCAUGGAUUUGUUCCACAUCUUUGAAAGAAAAACAUUAUUUUAUUUAUUUCACAGUGGAAGAUAAGUCAGUAAGGCCCCACUUCGGCAGGUUUUGUUUUCGUUUCCUCAUGCCUCUGCAAUGCUCGGAGUCACCCACGCCUUACUCACUGCGGCUGGAACGAACCCAGACUCCUCACUCCUCCCACAGCCUCUGGCGCAGGGCGCUCCUUGCUUGAAAGAAACGUUUGCGAUUUUUAGUGGAAACGUCCGUGUUUUCUUGGUAACUGGUAAAUGGCUGUAGAUUACUGACACGCGGUCCUUUGUACGUAACAGAAGGCUUUGAGUGUUUCUGUGAGGAUCACCCUGUGAAGAAACGGCUGCAGUGAGAGCAGCCGAGGCGGGACGCAGCCCCGGACGUGGGGUCAGAGAGGAGCCGUGCGUGGGGUCAGAGAGGAGCCGUGCGUGGGGUCAGAGAGGAGCCGUGCGUGGGGUCAGAGAGGAGCCGUGCGUGGGGUCAGAGAGGAGCUGAGUUCAGGACGGGCAUGGCAGCCGCAGGAGGAGGGCAAGGCGGAGCCCAGGAGGGGCAAAGUGGACAAAGCCAGGGCUGGAGAGGGGAGACCCAGGAUCAGCACCACGUUCCACGGGGAUGGCACAGAAGCCUGAGAGGCCACGGCCAAAUGUGGAAAUUGGCUUUGCCAAAUCUUGCAUUUCAGAGAGAAAAGGCAAUAUGGCAUUAAUGCUUGCCUUGUUUAAUUUUCGUAAUUUUCCCUUUCUUCCUGCCAAUAGCUUGCUUUGUUAUCCGGAGGGUAGCCACGGUUUUAGCUCACAGUGAUGUCAACUUGAAGCUUCUCUCCACAAGCAGCUGUGACCUCAGCUGCCGUGCAGUCAGCUUCCCCGGCCUCCCUCCCCAGCCUCCCUGGUCUCCCAGGCACAAGGCUGGGCACUGGCUUCAGAGUGGCUGCAAGGGCACGGCCCCCAGGCCUAGGGCUGAUCAGCGUGAACAGUACCCAGCACACUUGCUUCAAAAAGUAAGAAGAUAUAGAACACAAGCUGCUUGUUCUCAUGACUAUAGCACAAACUAUAAAACAAAACAUCUUCCUCCAGAACACGGCAAGCUGGAUGGACAGUGAUCUGGACAAAAAUUUGCUGUAGGUUUUGUAACUGGGGUUCAGUGAGGACCAGGCUCCCCAGAGCAUACAUGUGGAGACAAUUAAGUUGAUCCCAUUUUCCAAGACUCAGAGGAGAUGUAUUUAUAUUAGGAAUAUAAACUUGCUAUUAAUGCAACUUCAGAAUGUCCAGGUCAUCCGUUGGGAAAAAAAAAAGAGUAAGUCUAGGGCUGGUUCGUGCUGUUGCUACAUGGAGGGAAUCCACAUCCAAGCCUGCCGCUCACAUGCUGGGACACAUUGCCUCAGCCUCCAUCUCUGGGAGUCCCACGCUUUCUCUCCUGGGUUGUCCCACUAUUCCUUUUGAAGUCCUCAUGUUAGUGACAGUUCAAUUUUCUCUUCACCUUCAAAAUUGCAGAGAACCUAAUUUCUACUGACCAGUCAAGCUUGUUUCAUUUAUCUUCCAUGUUAACUUCAAUUAAAAUGUUAACCAUCUGGAAUCUUUGGCCUCUUAUGUGACAAAAAUAGGCAUUAAAUUGUAUCAUUUCUUAAAUUCUCUGUUGAAAAGUCCAAAUACGUUACUGAAUAUGAUACAGAUUAGUAAGAAUUUGGGCUCAUUAAAUGUAAGAUAAUUUCAUAGCUUAAGGUAAUUUCACACCCCAAGGGACUUAUAACCUAAACACAAAGCAGAUCACCAACAUUAACUGUCAGCUGUCCACUGGAGAACUAUCUCAGACAAAAAAAUAAAAUUUGGAUUAGCUCUCCAUGGUGCACAAUACUUUCAUGAACCAUCUCUUUUGGGUUGGCAGCUGCAGUGUGUUCUGAGAGUAUGUUAAUGCUACAAUAACAGUAAAAAUAAAAUUAAGUUGGGAACAUACAGAAAAAAAGAAAUUGAUUACAUUAUUCCUAAUGACGACCUGAAUCAAAGUUGGCACUAAAUAAAUUUUUGUCAGAAAGGAGAAAAGAAAUGAGAGAAAUAAAAGAGAGGAGGCAGGAUUUUAUAUUCUGCUCCCUUUUUGGAAAA